UAAUAGCCCCGAUUGACGCGACAUCCUUUUGCGAAAUGGAAUGGAGCAAAAGAUAAAGUGGAAAGCGGGACUGAAC
rnacentral:sRNA from 1 species